rnacentral:rRNA from 1 species
AUGAGUACCUAUUUCUCUGAUAUGAUCAAAGAACAUUCCCUAGAUUUUAUUUGCCUUCAAGAAACUAUGAAGAAAAACUUCCCUCCGAAAAGCCUUAGAAAGAUUGACCCUGCAGAUAGAUUUGAAUGGAAUUGGGUUCCAUCUAUUGGUAAGGCAGGUGGUAUCCUUUGUGGUAUUAAGAGAGAAACUUUGGAAGUUAUCUCUUGGAUCCCUGGUAGGUUUUGCUUGCAAGCCAACCUUUAUGAUGUGAACCUUAAGAUUGUCUGGGCUCUCAUUACGGUUUAUGGAGCAACCCAUGACGACAACAAAGACGAUUUCUUGAUGGAGUUGGCCUCGAUGUGUGCUCACACUCACACCCCCUAUAUAGUGGGUGGUGAUUUCAAUAUCCUUAGAGAAAACUAUGAAAAGAACAAAACCAUGAACCGAUCCCCUUAUGUGGAUAAGUUCAACUGCAUCAUAGAUUCUUUAAGCCUCAGGGAGAUAUACAUGGGAGGGGGGAAUACACGUGGACUAACAAUCAGAAACACCCCACCCUGGAAAAACUAG